rnacentral:lncRNA from 1 species
GAUACUUUUUCUGCAGGCUGCGUACAACAUGAAGCAAAAGGUUUAGCAUUGAUGGAAAAAGAGGGCGAAAGAGAGCAAGAAAAAAAAGAAAAAAUCGUGUUUUUGGUUAUUUACCUAAGAUAACUGUUCCAUAUCUUGUGUAGAUGCUCCAUAGCUUUGAGAAGCAGGGCAAGAGAGUCCCAUUGGAUUUUUGAGGGCCCAAUUCAAUCCAAUUCUCCCGGCUGACGUUUCUAGUAGGCCUGAACUCCGAUCAGGCUCGCAGACAAGCAAGUCCCGGCAACAGAUUAUUGAAUGCACUGAAGACAGUGUUUUAACAUGCAAAGAUUCUAGCUUGUUUUGUUAUGGAUUUGG